rnacentral:snRNA from 1 species
AGCCCCGAAAAUGGAUGG